rnacentral:rRNA from 1 species
AUGGCGCUUCGCUCGCCGGAGCUGCGCUUCGCCGCCUCCACCGGGCUCGGCGCGCUCUCCCGGCCCAGCCGCCUCGCUCCUUCCCCCCUCGCCGCGCUCGCUUCCCCCCGCCGACGCCGCCGCGGCCCGUCCCCUUCCCCUUCUCCCUCGCCCUCCGACUCCAACCCCUCGACCGCCUCCGCCGGCGACGCGGACGGGCCGGAAUGGAAGAAGGUCAGCGCAAAGCGGUUCGGGUACAAGGAGUCCAUGAUCCCCGAUGAGGCAUGGAACGUCCUCCACCAACUCCGUAGCAGAGGAUAUGAUGUGUACUUGGUUGGUGGUUGUGUUCGAGAUCUCAUAAUGAAGAAAAUCCCAAAAGAUUUUGACAUAAUAACAACAGCUGAUCUUAGGCAGGUGAAAGACACCUUUGUAGGAUCAGCUGUUAUAGUAGGAAGGCGGUUUCCCAUAGUUCAUGUACAUGACAAUAAUUCCAUUGUUGAGGUGUCAAGUUUUAAUACUUACGUUCGAGGGUCAACUGGCAAUCAAAUGCCCACUUCAAAGAGCCCACAUUGUAGCAAGAACGAUUAUUUACGCUGGAAAAACUGCCAAGGGAGGGACUUCACUAUUAAUGGAUUAAUGUUCAAUCCAUAUUCAGAAAAGAUCUACGACUACCUGGGAGGCAUUGAAGAUAUUAAGAAAGCUAAGGUUCGUACUGUUAUUCCCGCCGCCACUUCGUUCCAUGAGGAUUGUGCUCGUAUUCUACGUGCAAUCAGAAUUGCAGCUCGAUUAGGAUUCAGCUUUCCCAAAGAAACAGCUUAUUAUGUGAGAAAUCUUGCCUGUUCUGUGGCAAGACUUGACAAGGGAAGAUUACUCAUGGAGGUUAACUAUAUGCUUGCUUAUGGUUCAGCUGAAGCUUCUUUAAGGUUGCUUUGGCGAUUUGGUCUUCUUGAACAUUUAUUGCCCUUUCAGGCUGCAUAUUUUUCUUCAACUCUUUUUAAGAGGAAGGAUAAUGGGACUAACAUGUUGCUGGUCCUAUUUUCUAAGCUGGAUAGUUUUCUUGCACCUAACAGGCCAUGCCAUAAUAGUUUAUGGAUAAGCAUUUUAGCGUUCCAUGAGGCGUUGGUGCGCAAACCACGGGAUCCUUUGGUGGUGGCUACUUUUGCACUUGCUGUAUACCUUGGAGGUGAUCUGCCACUGGCAGUGGAUAUUGGACAAUCAAUCAACCGUCAACAUGAUGCUGGGUUUGCAGAGCUCUUGGAACCACGGAUGCGGGGCAAAAAAGGGUUAUUAGCUGAAGUAAAAGACCUUGCUAUCUCAAUGAGGCAGGCAUUAACUGAAAUGACUGACGAGUAUUAUGUUGCAAAUGCUAUGGCGAAAAUCCCUCAAGCACCGUCCUCAGAUCUUGUAUUUAUCCCACUACAAGCAUACUUGAAGGUUCUCAAAUUAAUUGAGCGUGUUCAACAUGGAAAAAAGGAGAUUGGUUACGAACCAAAAAGCGAUGGAAAUAUCGAUUAUCACAAUUUAGCAAAUGGUACACCUGCUGAAGUAAGAAAUCUCUUCACGCUGGUUGUCUUUGACACGAUAUACCCCCCGAACCUGGAGAAAGAAGAUGACAGCUCUAGAAGAUGA